rnacentral:rRNA from 1 species
AAUCAACGCUGGCGGCGUGCCUCAGACAUGCAAGUCGAACGAUUAAAGCUCUCUUCGGAGAGUGUAUAGAGUGGCGCACGGGUGAGUAACACGUAAGUAAUCUACCCUCGAGUGGGGAAUAACAACCGGAAACGGUUGCUAAUACCGCAUAAUGCAGCGGCACCGCAAGGUGACAGUUGUUAAAGAUUUAUCGCUUGAGGAGGAGCUUGCGGCAGGAUUAGCUAGUUGGUAGGGUAACGGCUUACCAAGGCUACGAUCUGUAACCGGUCUAAGAGGACGGUCGGUCACAACUGACACUGAAUAACGGGUCAGACUCCUACGGGAGGCAGCAGUCGGGAAUUUUGGGCAAUGGGCGAAAGCCUGACCCAGCAACGCCGCGUGAAGGAUGAAGUAUUUCGGUAUGUAAACUUCGAAAGAAUAGGAAGAAUUAAUGACGGUACAUUUAUAAGGUCCGGCUAACUACGUG